CGCUAGCGGCAGGCUUAACACAUGCAAGUCGAGGGGUAACAGGGAAGCUUGCUUCCGCUGACGACCGGCGCACGGGUGCGUAACGCGUAUAGAACCUACCUUUUACAGAGGGAUAGCCUUUAGAAAUGAAGAUUAAUACCUCAUAGUAUUAAGGAUUCGCAUGAAUCCUUAAUUAAAGAUUUAUCGGUAAAAGAUGGCUAUGCGUCCUAUUAGCUAGAUGGUAAGGUAACGGCUUACCAUGGCAACGAUAGGUAGGGGUCCUGAGAGGGAGAUCCCCCACACUGGUACUGAGACACGGACCAGACUCCUACGGGAGGCAGCAGUGAGGAAUAUUGGGCAAUGGAGGCAACUCUGACCCAGCCAUGCCGCGUGCAGGAAGACGGCCCUAUGGGUUGUAAACUGCUUUUAUACAGGAAGAAACCCUCGUACGAGUACGAGCUUGACGGUACUGUAAGAAUAAGGACCGGCUAACUCCGUGCCAGCAGCCGCGGUAAUACGGAGGGUCCGAGCGUUAUCCGGAAUCAUUGGGUUUAAAGGGUCCGCAGGCGGUCGAUUAAGUCAGAGGUGAAAUCCCAUAGCUCAACUAUGGAACUGCCUUUGAUACUGGUUGACUUGAGUCAUAUGGAAGUAGAUAGAAUGUGUAGUGUAGCGGUGAAAUGCAUAGAUAUUACACAGAAUACCGAUUGCGAAGGCAGUCUACUACGUAUGUACUGACGCUGAGGGACGAAAGCGUGGGGAGCGAACAGGAUUAGAUACCCUGGUAGUCCACGCCGUAAACGA
rnacentral:rRNA from 1 species